rnacentral:lncRNA from 1 species
GGCAGGCUAGCAUAUUUCCUGAAUCAACAUUAAGGAUUGAAAAAACAUUCUAAAAUGUUUUCCAGAAGGAAUGAAAAAACACUCUAAAAGCUGCAGCAUUUUUCUACACUAGAGAAUUUGCACUUUAUACUUUGCAUCAAUUUUUGUUUUGCAUGUCUUAAUAUACCUACUAGACUGUAAACCUCUGAGGACAGAGGCCAAGUGUUAAUCAUCUUUGAUCUUUUUUGAUAUAUAAUACAUCAGCUGGUAAAGAAUCUGCCUGCAAUGUGGGAGACCUGUUUUCAAUCCCUGGGUNNNGAAGAUCCCCUGCAGAAGGGAAAGGCUACUCACUCCAGUAUUCUGGCCUGCAGAAUACCAUGGACUGGGGUCACAAAGAGUUGGACACAACUGAGCAACUUUCACACUAUUUUUUAGGUAAUAUGUACAUUAUAAUUGCUUACUAAAUGAAUAAAUCAUCAUUUCUGCCCCUAUUUGAAUUUAAUUCAGAUAACUUUCUACUUGGAAGCCUUAAUCAUUUCACAUAUGCAAGGAAAGAACCAUACCAUUGGACCUUGAAGAAGAAAGUUGGGGGCAGAUGAGUGCAAGGAUAUGGCAAAAAGAGGAGAUGAUGGAUCAAUAUGGUAUGAGACUAGAGUAACCAAAUGUGCCAGUUUGCCUGGGACUGAACUCAUUUUAACCCUGAAAGUCUUGUAACUCAGGGAACCCUCAGCCCCAGGGAAGCAGGGAUAGCUGGUCACCCAAGUGAGGUCCCAAAGUUGACCCAGCUACCUCAAAAAUGCAUGUGCACGGGUCCCCUUGGAUCUCACUGAAGUCCCUCCUUUCUCUUAUUUGUCCGCAGAGAAAAAGGAAAGGGCUUCACUAUGACCAUGAGAGUAUUAAGAGGACAUACAAAAGUACUGAGAAGACACUUGGGAACAGCAGGGCCUGUCCAAAUGGACUUCCAGGAAGGCUGGAUGUCCUGUGCAGCUGAGUACACUCAUUAUCAACUGAUGUCACACUCCAGAAAUGCAGGCUCUGUGGAAAUACAUGGCCAAGGUCCUUGGGUAGUUGAUUCUUUCAAUCAAAUUUCUCUGAAGGUAUUAUUAGAAGAAAAUGACUCCAUGAAGACCUUGGAAAUGGGGUAAUAUAAUGGGAGGAAGCAGCAGCCAGUGAGACAGAUUGACUUGGCAUUGUAUUUAAGAAGAAACUGGGGCUGGGAUUCUGAUCUAGAUUGAGUUGAUGAUUUUUCAAAACAUUUAAUGAUCUGGUUUCUGAUGAUCAAUAUACUGAAGAAAACAUAUAGCAACCUUGGAAAAAGAAAGACCUAAAAUAGUUUAAUUUGGUUUCCUUACUUAAGGGAAAGAAAUACUUUAUUAUUCCUGAGGGACACUCUGGUAUCAGUAUGAGCCACACUGAUGUCUGCAACUUCCUUCAGAAGAACUUUGAAUGUCUCCCUGACAGUCGUUAGCCCUGGUUUGGCCAGGAUCUGUGUCUCUAUCUCUUCUUUCUAAAUGCAGUGAUAUCAUGGA